rnacentral:rRNA from 1 species
UACAGAGGUGGCAAGCGUUGUUCGGAAUUACUGGGCGUAAAGGGCGCGUAGGCGGUCUUGUCAGUCCCUUGUGAAAUCCCCCGGCUCAACUGGGGAACUGCACGGGAAACAGCAGGGCUUGAGUUCGGGAGAGGGAUGCGGAAUUCCGGGUGUAGCGGUGAAAUGCGUAGAUAUCCGGAGGAACACCGGUGGCGAAGGCGGCUUCCUGGACCGAUACUGACGCUGAGGCACGAAAGCGUGGGGAGCAAACAGG